AUUUUAUUAACAACCAGCCAAGCAAGCAGAGCUUGUUAGUUGUUUGUGUUCCUUUAGCUAAGUUCCUUCAGCUAAGUUAGCAAAGUGCACAGUGAUAUCGAUAUGGAAGCAAUUGGUGAAACUGGUGUGAGGGUCUUCAUGUAGAAAACCAAAGGCUAUGCAGCAUAAUAAUUAUUAUAACAGAAUGAUAUCUACAAAAAUAACGUAAUUGGAAAUAAAAGAGAGAGGACAAUUUGUGAUGUCUUGAACAUUCAUGCCUUUGCAGGACAUAACUUGAAUAGACUAUAUCAGGUGUUAGUUGUAAACUGUG